rnacentral:sRNA from 1 species
GUAUUCUCCACUGGUUGAAUGCAAAUGGAAGCCAGAGGAAAAGGGAACCCUUGACACAGUUUUCAUAUAGACUGGCCUCCAGGGCAGACAGCAGGAGGGGGGUUUAAUCUGGACUGAAUUGGAGGAAAGGAACUGGCACCAGAGUGGAGGCUGGAAGGAUGGUGGAACUGACACUGGGACAGAACACAGAAAACAGAAUAUAAUGCUAGUACCCUAAUGAUAAGUUCACCCCAGUGUUUUCUGAGGAGUCUACCUGGAAAUGAGAACCAUCUGUCCUUCCUAUAGUAGUUCUUCUCAGAAUGCCGACUCUAUGCUAAUGGAGGAGGUCUGAUGGCCGGGAGGAUGGGAAGAAGGAACCCACAAUGAAGCAAAAGUCACGUUUAACUCUGUCCUCACCAUUCCUCUCCUGGGCCUGUCCUAAACUGGAAGCUGGGGGAGGAUGGAGUGCUGGAAUGCUGUAGAAGUCUCAUGGGAGGGCGCCUGGUGUUCACCACAUGUGUACACUGUUGCACGACCAG